CGUCCAUAUUUCGUUGAAACAGCAGUUCUCGUACGAUCACCGAAGUUAAGCAACGCAGAGCUUGGUUAGGUACUAGAUGGAUAACCGCUUGGAAAUACUAUGUGCUGUAAG